GACGAACGCUGGCGGCGUGCUUAAUACAUGCAAGUUGAACGGAAAAGGCCUGCUUUUGUGGGGUGCUCGAGUGGCGAGCGGGUGAGAAUCACGUGUGUAACCUGUUCCUGUCUGUGGGAGAACUUCAGGAAACUCGGGCUAAUAUCGGAUAGGAGCUCCUGCUGCAUGGUGGGUGAUGGUAAGAUGCGUCGUUUGGGGAUGGACUCGCGGCUUAGCAUCUUGUUGGUGUGGUAGUGGCUUAACAAGGCAUUGACGGGUAGCCGGCCUGAGAGGGUGACCGGCCCCAUUGGGACUGAGAUACGGCCCAGACUCCUACGUGAGGCAGCCGUGGGAAAUUUUGCACACUGGGCGGAAGCCUGAUGCAGCAUCGCCGCGUGCGGGAUGACUGCUUUCGGGUUGUAACCCGCUUGCGCCUGUGACGCACCGUAAGUGACGGUAAUGGGUCAAGAAGCACCGGCUAACUACGUG
rnacentral:rRNA from 1 species